GAAAGUACCCAAAAAGCAGUUCGAGAGUACUCAACUUUGACGUUCGGCUCUCGAGCUUGUAGUUGGGUUAAAAUUCGAUCUCCAAGUUGGGUAGUUUUAACCCAAACGUUGAGUUGUUGCGCGAGAACUUAUUUUUGAGUAGUUUUGGACUUAACCGCUUUGUCGUGUAAUUUGAGCUCCUCUCGUUUGACAACUCAAUCAAAACAAAUCCGGUCAAAUUCUGUUACUCCAGUUUAUAUAUUAUUGCCGUAUUUUUCGCGAGAGUUUAUUCGAAACUGUUUAAUAAACGUAAGUGCAACGGGUGAAGAAUUCAUGAAGGAAGGAUGGAUGAACCGCGGGAUCAACACGGCGAGGCGACGCCGAUGGUUUCGAGGAGCCGCUGGAAAAUUGCCGGGAGUGUUAAGCAGGCGGAACGCCAGAAUGAGUUAUUAAUCAACCAUCAACAAAUCACACAGCAAUUGCUUGAAUGUCAAAUCAUUUAAUUGAAUGGCUUAUAUCAGCCGGAGUGCGGGCGAAUAAAAUUUCCACCGAAUUAGGUGAGACGCCAGCUUGGCGAACAGAGAUGAUUUCGGAACACACUUGGUGGUCCCUGAUAUACUGUUUAGCGGAGGAAUACCCGAAUUUUUUAACGUUGAACAUCAAGCUGAUCUCAGAUGCCGGGAAACUGAAAAUUUUUAUUUCUGAUUUUUUUAACCAUCCGGAUAAUUGGUAGUCCGUGAUCCAUGAGUGUGCCGAAAUGGUUUGUCAUGGACAGCACACACGUUUACAAUCAGGUGUUGGUUGAGGAACUUUGCCAACAACCUUAGGAUGGUUUAUUUAUCAUAAAACGGUUGGCCCAGGAAAUAGCAAAAUACUAAAAUUCUCCCCCCAAUCACCCAAGUUCCCCACACUGAGUGACGCAAUAAAAGGACAUUCCGUAUUGAAAGAAGAUCAUUCCCUGGUCGACCGUCGAGGCGAAUAGUUCGGCUUCUCUUCGAUCUGAGUUGGACCCCACCAGUUGGAAGGAAUACGGCCCGAAAUUGGCACUGGGAGGAAGGGACCAUUGGAAGACUUGGAAGCCGUUAGGGUGCUGCCGAUAGUGGAGAACAUGCACGAGAGGCCCUAAGAAAUGGAAAACAUCUUACUAACCGAGAAAUCAGGAUUCAGAUUGAACCACGCGACGUGGAUGCUCGCAUUUCCCCUGAUAAAAUGGAUAGAGGUUACGAUACAUUUUCAUGUUGAGAAGUUUGCCAACGCCGAACCGCACGUUGUUUGAUGCCGAAAUGAAAUGAAGGGAUCAUUAUCAAAAGCCGCCUGUGCCGGUUUCUUGCUCGUCUGAUAGUGACGUCAGGGAGUACGAUGAUGAAGCCAGCCAGAUCAAACAGUAUUUGGAAUUGCUGUUUAAAAUUCAAGAGGACAAGUACAAUUACGAUAACUAUGUGAAAUCUCUGGUUCAUGCUUAUUAAAUGUCCGGCCUGGAUAAAACUCGGCUAAAUUGCGGCAAUCGGACUCAAUCUGGGA